rnacentral:rRNA from 1 species
GAGCUCUCAAUCUGUCAAUCCUUCCGGUGUCCGGGCCUGGUGAGAUUUCCCGUGUUGAGUCAAAUUAAGCCGCAGGCUCCACUCCUGGUGGUGCCCUUCCGUCAAUUCCUUUAAGUUUCAGCUUUGCAACCAUACUUCCCCCGGAACCCACAAGCUUUGGUUUCCCGGAAGCUCCCUGCGGGGUCUUGUUUUUACACACCCGCAGAUCGCUAGCUGGCAUCGUUUAUGGUUAGAACUAGGGCGGUAUCUGAUCGCCUUCGAACCUCUAACUUUCGUUCUUGAUUAAUGAAAACACUCUUGGCAAAUGCUUUCGCAGUAGUUAGUCUUCAAACGGUCCAAGAAUUUCACCUCUGUCGUUUGAAUACUAAUGCCCCCGAUUGUCCCUAUUAAUCAUUAAGUCAUUUUCCGAAAACCAACAAAAUAGAAACGACUUCCUAUUCUAUUAUUCCAUGCACGAAUAUUCAAGCGUGUAAGCCUGCUUUGAGCACUCUAAUUUUUUCAAAGUAAACCUGCAAGCGACCGGAGACACCCAAUGAAGGGGACCCCCAACCCUCUUGCAAAAAUACGAACAAAUGGGCAGUACCGUCAAAUAACGAACCGCCCCCUGUUCGCCGAGAUCCAACUACGAGCUUUUUAACCGCAACAACUUUAAUAUACGCUAUUGGAGCUGGAAU